CGUGUAGGCGGUUGGUCAAGUCUGGUGUGAAAGCCCGGGGCUUAACCCCGGAAGUGCACUGGAAACUAGCCAGCUAGAGCGCGAGAGAGGAGGGUGGAAUUCCUGGUGUAGCGGUGAAAUGCGUAGAUAUCAGGAGGGAACACCGGCGGCGAAGGCGGCCCUCUGGCUCGUUGCUGACGCUGAAACGCGAAAGCGUGGGGAGCAAACAGGGAUUAGAUACCCUGGUAGUCCACGCUGUAAACGAUGGGUACUAGGUGUUCGGGGUAUUGACCCCCUGAGUGCCGACGCUAACGCAUUAAGUACCCCGCCUGGGGACUACGGCCGCAAGGUUAAA
rnacentral:rRNA from 1 species